rnacentral:rRNA from 1 species
GACGAACGCUGGCGGCGUGCCUAAUACAUGCAAGUUGAGCGCUGAAGGUUGGUACUUGUACCGACUGGCUGAGCAGCGAACGGGUGAGUAACGCGUGGGGAAUCUGCCUUUGAGCGGGGGACAACAUUUGGAAACGAAUGCUAAUACCGCAUAAAAACUUUAAACACAAGUUUUAAGUUUGAAAGAUGCAAUUGCAUCACUCAAAGAUGAUCCCGCGUUGUAUUAGCUAGUUGGUGAGGUAAAGGCUCACCAAGGCGAUGAUACAUAGCCGACCUGAGAGGGUGAUCGGCCACAUUGGGACUGAGACACGGCCCAAACUCCUACGGGAGGCAGCAGUAGGGAAUCUUCGGCAAUGGACGAAAGUCUGACCGAGCAACGCCGCGUGAGUGAAGAAGGGUUUCGGAUCGUAAAACUCUGUUGGUAGAGAAGAACGUUGGUGAGAGUGGAAAGCUCAUCAAGUGACGGUAACUACCCAGAAAGGGACGGCUAACUACGUG